rnacentral:rRNA from 1 species
CAGUCGCCGCGGUAAUACGUAGGUGGCAAGCGUUGUCCGGAAUUAUUGGGCGUAAAGGGCUCGCAGGCGGUUUCUUAAGUCUGAUGUGAAAGCCCCCGGCUCAACCGGGGAGGGUCAUUGGAAACUGGGAAACUUGAGUGCAGAAGAGGAGAGUGGAAUUCCACGUGUAGCGGUGAAAUGCGUAGUGAUGUGGAGGAACACCAGUGGCGAAGGCGACUCUCUGGUCUGUAACUGACGCUGAGGAGCGAAAGCGUGGGGAGCGAACAGGAUUAGAUACCCGCGUAGUCCCUGUCUCUUAUAC